rnacentral:rRNA from 1 species
UGCCGCAGCCGCGGUAAUACGGAGGGUGCAAGCGUUAAUCGGAAUUACUGGGCGUAAAGCGCGCGUAGGCGGUUAAGUAAGUCGGAUGUGAAAGCCCAGGGCUCAACCCUGGAAUUGCAUUCGAUACUGCUUAACUAGAGUAUGGUAGAGGGAAGUGGAAUUUCAAGUGUAGCGGUGAAAUGCGUAGAUAUUUGAAGGAACACCAGUGGCGAAGGCGGCUCACUGGCUCGAUACUGACGCUGAGGUACGAAAGUGUGGGGAGCAAACAGGAUUAGAUA